CGCGGGAUGGAGCAGUCUGGUAGCUCGUCGGGCUCAUAACCCGAAGGUCGUUGGUUCGAAUCCAGCUCCCGCAA
rnacentral:tRNA from 1 species